rnacentral:SRP_RNA from 2 species
GCUGGGUGUGGUGGCACGCACCUGUAGUCCCAGCUACUCAGGAGGCUGAGGCAGGAGAAUCACUUGAACCCAGGAGACAGAAGUCACAGUGAGCCGAGAUCGCACCACUGCACUACUGCCUGGGUGACAAAGUAAGACUCUGCCUCAA